rnacentral:rRNA from 1 species
UACGGGGGGGGGCAAGCGUUGUUCGGAUUCACUGGGCGUAAAGGGUGCGUAGGUGGCGAGGUAAGUCGGAUGUGAAAGCUCGGAGCUCAACUCCGAAAUGGCAUUGGAAACUACCUUGCUCGAGGGUUGGAGAGGGUAGUGGAAUUCCCGGUGUAGUGGUGAAAUGCGUAGAUAUCGGGAGGAACACCAGUGGCGAAGGCGACUACCUGGCCCAUUCUUGACGCUGAGGCGCGAAAAGCUAGGGGAGCGAACGGG